UGAGACAUAUCCAUUGCAGUGCCAAAUAAAGAAAGUUUUCCGAGAAUUAACAGCAGGACAAUGGUCCGCUUGUUGUAUAUAAUAAAUAUCACACUGGUGUUGUAUAUGUGUAGCCGGUGCUAGAAUUUACAUAUGCAUGCUCCACAACCUAUGUUCGUACAAACACAGAUCAUACCGAACGAAAAAUAUGCUCUGGUCGGAAAGCAGAGUCCUGGACAAAAGUGAAGUUCACAAAAGACAAUCAUACAUAGGCCAUUGCUUCAACUCGUAGUUUAGGCCUUGCCAGACUCCUCGCAACCCGGUGGCCUGAAUGCGAUGAAGCUGACGCACUGCACCUGGCGCAGGUUGUCGAAGCCGAUGACGCGGACAUAGGCGUCAGGGUACUCCUUCUUGACCUCCUCCACCUCGUUGAGCACCUGCGUGGCGUCGGUGCACCCGAACAUAGGCAGCUUCCACAUUGUCCAGUAUCGGCCGUCGUAGUACCCGGGGGAGCUGUUGUGCUCACGAAAGACGAAGCCAACCUUGCUGAACUCGAGGCAGGGCACCCACUUGGAGCGGAUCAGGUAGUCGACCUGCUUCAGGAGGGCCUCCGUGGAGAGGGGUGGCAAGUAAGACAGGGUCUCGAACUUCUUGAUGCCCUCAAUCGGCCACACCUGAGUGAAUGGAAAUUAUGGAAUGCACACAACUGCUUAACACUUCGUGCUAGUAAAUUGUACGUACUGAGGAAGAAACUCAUAUCAGUUUUGUGCCUCGACAUACCUGCAUGCACCUGAUCCUUCCGCCAUUGCUGACGCUGCCGAGGCUGCCGCUGGAGCGGCGGCUGACGGGCAGACCGGCCGUGGACUUGAGCCCCUGGAAGGGUGCGACGGUGGUAGCCGACGAAGCCAUCACGGCGGGGGCCAUGGUAUUGUAUUAUCGGCGGAGAGGAGGAUGCUGGCUACACUUGAGGCCCCAUUGCCGGGUCACUACCGUAUAUAUAGCCAGACACUUAGCGCCGUUUCUUUGGUACAGAUGUGGCUGGGGUGGCUGACGUUCUCUGGUUGCCUCGUUUCCUUAUCUUCUCCGGAUCAGUGGAAGAAGCAUGGCCGUCGGAUGCAUUGUGUGUGCUGGAAAUUUCAGUCCUUCAUGUCAUUGGGUGGCUGCCACACAACCUUUUUCCAGCUUUUCUUGUUUUUGGUUUCAUUUAAAGCCAAAAGUUUCUCGAGUACAAAUUUUCUGAGAUGCGACUUGAGUGGCGCGGGCAAAAUAUUUUACAUUUUAUCAUAAAAUCUGAUGGCUCAUUCCCUCGAAAGUAUGCCCAUAGACAUAGAGUGUGCGUGUGUGCAUUUAUAGGGGUUAUUGUACAGGCGUGUAUGCAAACGUCUACUAUUGUACACCGUUUCUCGAAAUAAAAUAUAUGUUUUGUUGGUACAAUUAAUUGAACUAGCAUAGUAACCGUCCACACAUAGAACAAGUUCUUUCCCUCUUGCAAGGCAACUAUUGAAAGCUCUCCACCUCUCUAUCUGCCAGUGAGCCUAUGGAUCCGCCUUCCCUCUGCGGGAAGGGCAUUCUUGGUGGCUCAGCUCUGGCUAGUAGAUAAGUAGGGUUUUAGUCCUCAUAGGUGAGGCGCUUGGACGGAUGGCGGCCCUUCUUCUUUGAGCCAAUCUUUCGGGAUCCGAUCCUCUUCAAGUUCCUCUGUCUGGGGAGUUCCGACAUAGAUUCCUGCCAGCUCCUCAAGCGGCGAGGUUAGGAAUUCUCGUCAUGCAUACGCACAUUGAGAUUUGGUGUCAGAUUCUUUAGACCGAUUCAGGGAUUCAACGGCGACGACUGCGGCUCCAGAGCACUGGUUCUUAUGGGCACGUGCAUGAAGACUUCCUGACUGUCAUCGACAAGGUUAGGAUAGCUCCAGAGUGGGAGCAACGACAACGGUGUGUUAGUGGCUCGUCUCUGUGAGUAGGAAGGAAAAAAAGCCCUAUAUCUCGACAUUUUGACAACUAUGUGACAAUGGGAUUGAGCUACUCCAUACCUUCUUUUAAACACUAGUGGGUAGGAAUGAAAAGCUCUAUAUCUCAACUAUUAACACGUAUGGCUAAAUCUGUACCUUGAAUUAUAGGAUAUGCCAAUUGAUCAAUGGUGGGCGGUCUCCCACAUAACAUUGUCUCUCAAAUAGAGCUGCAAAUGAGUCGAGUUCGAGCAAGUUGGACUUGGCUCAGCUCAACUCAUAUUAAAAUUCGAGCGAGCUCAAACUGAGUGAAGCUUAAGGUCAAGCUGUAGAAUAUGACUCAUGCUUAGCUUGUAAUGAUCUCGAGUCGAUCUCGAGCUAGUUUCGAGUUAAAUGAGAUGAUAUAAAAUAUAAAAUUUAUGACUAUUAUUCCAACUAGAUAAGCACAACACGGCAUAAAAAAGCACAAAAAAUAUUAUUCCAAUCAGAACGAGGAUAAUACAACUUUCUUUUGAAAUGAUACAAAUUUGUUAGAAAUAGUUUAACUUAUUCUAUCACAACCGAAAGUCUAGUAUCAACAUAAGAUAACGAUUCAUGACAUAUAUAUAAUUGGGAAAACGAAGAUGCAUAUGCUGGGAACUCUUGCCAGAAAUAACAUAAUAUUUAACACAUAGCGGACCACGUACCAUAAUAAAGCCUAAAUUUUCUCUAUAACUAAUUAAGCUUCGAUGUUCGUUUGUAAAUAAAACGGAGAAAAAUCCUGGAUGACAUAUAUGGUAUUAAAUUAUCGUAUUUUCAUUUAUUAUAUGGCAUGAUCAUUUAACAUAAUGAUAUUAUGCCGAGCUAUGGAGCGAGCCAGUAUUGGUUCAAGAUCAGCCCGUUUCUCGACUAAGCUACAUGAAGUGUUCGUACUCAACUCAUUUCUUUUUGAGUCGAGUGAAAAAACGAGUCGAUCUCGAGCCGCUCACGAGCCUCAAGCUUUUCUUCCAGCCCUAAUCUCAAGCAACGUCAUGUUGAGACAACUCAAUCAUCAUACUUUCCAUCCCAUAUCAGUGGCGGAUAAUGGAAAGACAUUAGUAUCACAAGGCCUGGACCGAAGGCAAUAAGUUCUAUGGAAAACCGUGAUCCCCAGAAUAAUUGUGUUCCUCUCAUGAUAUCGAUGCCCUGUCACCUGGAGGUCUCUCGAUUUGCACCUGGAGUUGAACGUCUCCAACUACACCAAUUGAUCAGAUGUCUCCAAUCACUAAAUUACCGCAAGAGUAAAUAAUAACAUGAAGAGGAAAAACAUGACUAAACAACGCAUAUCGAAUAACAGCUUACAGCUGAUCGACCCAUAGCCAAUGAUUACUCAAAUAACAUCACAUAUAAAAGGGUUUAAGAGGUGUUACAACCCAUUACAGAGACCGUGAUGGGAGGGGGAACGAGAAGGGCUAUGGGUGAGGACGAUGCGGCGACGACAACACUUCUCCGGCAUUGCCUCUUCAAGGUUGCAAUGAUGGAGAUGGAGGCUUGGCACAACCCUCAAGUGCUUUUUGAUGUCGAUGGCAUCUGAACAUAUGGAUUGUGUCCCCGAGUGGCUAGGGUUGGAGGUGUAUUUAUAAGAACUAGCCCCCUUCGUUGAUGUAGCAUCUCUACUUUGAUACAAGUGCUCUAGGUGAGCCCAAUCUUUCCCAAAACAUCCCUUCAUGGCAAAGAAAGUAGUAGGAAUUAACCGGGACAAAAUCCUCAAAGAAUCCUGUCUGAAAGGGCAACUUUCGUGCUUGUCUAGGCCUAAUACGAGCACUGGUACAACCAUUUUUUUAUGUAUCAAAGUUCGUCGAUCGCUUUGGACUCUUUGGUAAAACCGCCGAAACUUUUACAUCCGGACUCUGUUUUUGAUGUUCAUAUGCUCGUUGGAAUCAUGAUAACAGCGCUGAUGCACUUGUGAUAUUAGAUAUUGAUUGUGAGCACUUUGGAAAAUGACCUUUUUCACCCUCUGAAAUGCCCAAGUCUGGUGUCUCGAUGUCCUUCGUUUGGAUUCUUUUCAUCAUGUUAAGUGCAUGAGAGUUCCACAUCACGUACAAACACACAAAGACAAAGAAUACUAAUAAGAAUAAAUAAAGAAUAAACAUUAUGCAAUGCUCGCGCUGCAAAUGUUAAACACUAGAGAUCAUGCAUAUGGACAAUGUAAUUGGCUCAAUGGCACAUGCUAUACGAGAUAAUAGGCGACAAAUGAGCUCUAAACGUGCGUAAAAAUAGGAGCCAUCACUAGGAUCAACGAGAUAUUAUCUUGUGGAACACCUUCCAUCCUUUUGAAUGGUGAGCCCGGUAGACAAUUCCAGUGAAAACAUGGAGUUCACCAAGGCGGCCCACUGUUACCACUUCUAUUUUUAUUGGUAGUGGAUUUACUUCAGUCUAUCCUCAGUGACAUUUAUCAUUGUGGGGAGAUCUUUCAAUCCCAUCUCAUGAUCUAGAAUCUCCAAUUGUCCACUAUGUUAAUGAUAUAUUGUUGAUUAUGCCGGAUAUUGAUUCUCAGCUUCUUGACCUAAAAGAAAUGUUACAACUUUUGUCUAAAUCCACUUGCUUGAAAGUGAAUUUUUGAAAAUCCUCCAUGGUUCUUAUAAAUGUGAUUGCCAAUGAAUCUUCUCAUUGGCCAGUUUGUUUGAGUGUCAACAGGGUAAGAUGCCUUUCACUUACCUGGUUUACCUAUGGGUAACACUAGGCCCAAGAUCUAGGACUUAAUGCCUUUGGUUGAUAUAAUGAAAAGGAAAUUGGCAGCCAUCUCUUCUCUACUCUCACAAGGCGCUAAAUUGAAACUUUUGAGGUCUGCCAUUUCAUCUAUACCGAUAUACUAUCUUUGUAGUUUGUAGACCCCCCCUUGGUAUAAUUAAACAACUGGAGAGAAUUGAGCAGAAUAUAUCUGGCGUGGCAAUGCUGAAAGCAUAAAUCGACCAUUCGCGAUAUGUCAUCUGGUUUGUAAACCAAAAGGAGAAUGGUUGUAUCGGUAUCAUUAACCAUCAUAUUCAGGACCAACCUUUGCUUACAAAAUACUUGUACAAAUUUUAUAAUAAAGCUCAUAUUCCAUGGGUAACUUUGAUAUAGACUUCUUACUAUCAUGGAGUCAUACCUGACGCAACAGUUCUUUGUGGCUCUUUCUGGUGGAGGGAUAUUUGGGAACUUAAUGAUCAGUACAUGGCAAUCUCUUCAAUCAAAGUUAAUACUGGCAACUUUGCCCUGUUCUUGCUUGAUGCCUAGUUGAUUGAGGGAUCUUCUCUACCUCUUCGACAUCAUUUGGAAGGCUCUUUUCAUUGCCUUGGAUAAAAAAAAUCUGUUAAAGAUUUUACAGAAACCCCUGAUCGGACCACUCUUUUGCGCCUGCCAAUUUCUGCUGAGGCGAUAGAUGAAUUGCGACCUAUGGAUGGUUGGUUACAUAGCCUUCAGCGAAAGAUGUUUUUUCUUGGUAAGGAGGAUCAUUUUCCGCCAAAAGCUUCUACUGCAUGAUGCACAAGCACAUGCCCACCGAUGAACCUCUUGCGAAUGGAUAUGAUAGAGCACCAUGAAGAUCAAGAUCUUUGCUUAGAUCCUAUUGUUUUAUCGGUUGAACGCUUGGAACAUGCUUCUUAGAAGGCACUGGCUUUCUCCUCGGGAUGAAACCCAUUGUGCUCACAUCAGGAGAGAGACCACUUGUUUUUCUCCUGUAAUUUUAGUCAAAGGAUUUGGACUUAUUUUACAGAUUGAUUGGAGCCCCAGAUGAAACGCUAGACAAUGUAUUGAUGUUGCAUGUAAACGAUUUGGAUACCAGUGGCGGCGCCAAGAUUUUGAGGGUGGGUAUUCAUUGGCACAAAAAAAUUACUCUAAAUGUAUUAUAAAGACACCAGUACAACAAUAGUAAUUUUUUAAUGCAUCAAACCAUACUAAUUAUACAUAAACAUAAAGACACCAGUACCUUUUGAUUGACAGAUUGGUGAUAUCCCAUCUUACAAUAUAACUUUGCGAUUGCCUUUUUGGAAGAGAUUGAUGACAUCCUCAUCCUUUACUUGAUUGAAGAAUUCUCUCUCAACAAAUGUAACCAAACAAUUGUUCAAGUAAUCAUCACCCAUUUUGCUCCUUAGCUUAUUCUUCACAUAGUUCAUUGAAGAGAACACCCUUUCAACACUAGCAGUAGCUACUGGCAGAAUUAAUACCAACUUAAGAAGCUUGUAAACAAUAUAGUAUUGUUCAUGCUUGUUUGUCUCGACAAGCAUAACUGAAAGCUCACAUAGAUUCUUCAAGUUUUGAAACCUUUCAUCUCUACGCACAUGAGUAACAUACAUGUUUAGUUGCCAUGGAAGUCUUGCCAGUUCAUCACUUGUGAAAUCACUAGCAUAAAACUUUGUAGCAAGCCUAACCAAUUUCUCUUGAUCAUAAGCAGCAAAUAGACGAAGUGGACAAAAUGCUGCCAUGCAAGAAAGUAGAUCUGUGUUUACCUCAUCAAAUCUGCCAUUCAACUCACUAAUUUGCAUAUCAAUGACACUCGCAUACAUAUCAACUUUGAAGCGAUGGUAAUUCGUUGCACCAUUAAAGAAACCCCUUCUAGGCUGGCCAGCGGGAAAGUAAGGACCCUCCAUAUCAACAAUUUUGAUCUUAUGCUUUGUACAAAAAGAUGUGACCUUUUUGAGAAAAUCAUCCCAUCCAGGAUCAGUCCUCAAACCCUCCAAGUGAUACUUUGUGAUAUCAACAAGCUCAAUAGCAUGAACAAUAUCUUGGUCUUGCUUUUGCAAAGCUCUACUCAACUCAUCUGUGUAUCCAAAUAUUUGUUGCAUCAAGUGUGCCAUGAAAACAAACUCUAAUGAUCGAAAUGAUGUCAAUAUGGUUAGAGCCGCUUGCGCCUCCACACCAUGGUACUCUUUUCCAAUCUUGAUGAGGACUCGUUGUAUUGCACCAUACAUACAGAUGACAUGGUUCACGGGUUUGAAGUGAGAGCCCCAACGUGUAUCACAUGGCCUUCCCAAACCCAUUUCCUGAUUCAGCCCACUCCCGGUUUCUACUUCUUCCAAUUCCAAUGCAUCAAUGAGUUCCUCAGCCUGAGCUAUACGAAGCAUUCUCAUAUUUUUACAAGACAUGCCAAGAGAAUUUAACAAGUGUGCAAGUUGUUGAAAGAACUGUUGGGGAACGUAGCAGAAUUCUAAAAUUUUCUACGCAUCACCAAGAUCAAUCUAUGGAGUCAUCUAGCAACGAGGGAGAGGGGAGUGCAUCUACAUACCCUUGUAGAUCGCGAACGGAUGCUUUCAAGAGAACGGGGUUGAUGGAGUCGUACUCGUCGUGAUCCAAACCACCGAUGACCUAGCGCCGAACGGACGACACCUCCGCGUUCAACACACGUACGGUUGGAAGACGUCUCCUCCUUCUUGAUCCAGCAAGGGGAAGGAGAGGUUGAUGGAGAUCCAGCAGCAUGAUGGCGUGGUGGUGGAAGCAGCGGUGAUCUCGGCAGGGCUUCACCAAGCUCCAACGAGAGAGAGAGAGAGGUGUUACGCGGGGAGAGGGAGGCGCCAGAGACUUGGUGCGGCUGCCCUCCCCCCACUUUAUAUAGGGCCCCUAGGGGGGCGCCGGCCCUAGGAGAUGGGAUCUCCAAGGAGGGGCGGCGGCCAAGGGGGACUUGCCCCCCAAGCCAAGUGGGGCGCCCCCCACCCCUAGGGUUUCCAACCCUAGGCGCAGGGGGAGGCCCAUGGGGGGCGCAUCAGCCCACCAGGGGAUGGUUCCCCUCCCACUUCAGCCCAUGGGGCCCUCCGGGAUAGGUGGCCCCGCCCGGUGGACCCCCGGGACCCUUCCGGUGGUCCCGAUACAAUACCGAUUACCACCAAAACUUUCCCGAUGGCCGAAACUAGACUUCCUAUAUAUAAAUCUUCACCUCCGGACCAUUCCGGAACUCCUCGUGACAUCCGGGAUGUCAUCCGGGACUCCGAACAACUUUCGGCUUACCGCAUACUAAUAUCUCUACAACCCUAGCGUCACCGAACCUUAAGUGUGUAGACCCUACGGGUUCGGGAGACAAGCAGACAUGACCGAGACGACUCUCCGGUCAAUAACCAACGUCAGGAUUUGGAUACCCAUGUUGGCUCCCACAUGUUACACGAUGAUCUCAUCGGAUGAACCACGAUGCCGAGGAUUCAAUCAAUCCUGUAUUCAACUCCCUUUGUCAAUCGGUACGUUACUUGCCCGAGAUUCGAUCGUCGGUAUUCCAAUACCUCGUUCAAUCUCGUUACCGGCAAGUCACUUUACUCGUUCCGUAACACAUCAUACCGUGACCAACCCUUAGCCACAUUGAGCUCAUUACAAUGAUGUUUUACCGAGUGGGCCCAGAGAUACCUCUCCGUCAUGCGUAGUGACAAAUCCCAGUCUCGAUUCGUGCCAACCUAACAGUCACUUUCGGAGAUACCCGUAGUGGACCUUUAUAGUCACCUAGUUACGUUGUGACGUUUGGAACACCCAAAGAAUUCCUACAGUAUCCAAGAGUUGCACAAUCUCAUGGUCUAAGGAAAAGAUACUUGACAUUCGAAAAGCUCUAGCAGAUGAACUACACGAUCUUGUGCUAUGCUUAAGAUUGGGUCUUGUCCAUCACAUCAUUCUUCUAAUGAUGUGAUCCCCGUGAUCAAUGACAUCUAAUGUCCAUAGUCAGGAAACCAUGACUAUCUGUUGAUCAACGAGCUAGUCAACUAGAGGCUCACUAGGGACAUGUUGUGGUCUAUAUAUUCACACAUGUAUUACGAUUUCUGGAUAACACAAUUAUAGCAUGAACAAUAGACAAUUAUCAUGAACAAGGAAAUAUAAUAAUAACCAUUUUAUUAUUGCCUCUAGGGCAUAUUUCCAACAGUCUCCCACUUUCACUAGAGUCAAUAAUCUAGUUACAUUGUGAUGAAUCGAACACCCAUAGAGUUCUGGUGUUGAUCAUGUUUUGCUCGAGGAAGAGGUUUAGUCAACGGAUCUGCGACAUUUAGGUCCGUAUAAACUCUGCAAAUAUCUAUGUCUCCAUUUUGUACAUUUUCACGAAUGGAGUUGAAGCGACGCUUGAUAUGCCUGGUCUUCCUGUGAAACCUGGGCUCCUUGGCAAGGGCAAUAGCUCCAGUGUUGUCACAGAAGAGAGUCAUCGGGCCCAACGCAUUGGGAAUAACUCCUAGGUCGGUAAUGAACUCCUUCACCCAGAUUACUUCUUGUGCUGCCUCUGAGGCUGCCAUGUACUCCGCUUCACAUGUAGAUCCCGCCACGACGCUUUUCUUGCAACUGCACCAGCUGACUGCCCCACCAUUCAAAAUAUACACAUAUCCGGUUUGUGACUUAGAGUCAUCCAGAUCUGUGUCGAAGCUAGCAUCGACAUAACCCUUUACGACGAGCUCUUCAUCACCUCCAUAGACGAGAAACAUAUCCUUAGUCCUUUUCAAGUACUUCAGGAUAUUCUUGACCGAUGUCCAGUGUUCCAUGCCGGGAUUACUUUGGUACCUUCCUACCAAACUUACGACAAGGUUUACAUCAGGUCUGGUACACAGCAUGGCAUACAUGAUAGACCCUAUGGCCGAGGUAUAGGGGAUGACACUCAUCUUUUCUCUAUCUUAUGCCAUGGUCGGGCAUUGAGCUGUGCUCAAUCUCACACCUUGCUAUACAGGCAAUAACCCCUUCUUGGACUGAUCCAUAUUGAACUUCUUCAAUAUCUUGUCAAGGUAUGUACUUUGUGAAAGACCAAUGAGGCGUCUCGAUCUAUCUCUAUAGAUCUUGAUGCCUAAUAUAUAAGCAGCUUCUCCAAGGUCCUUCAUUGAAAAACACUUGUUCAAGUAGGCCUUUAUGCUUUCCAAGAAUUCUAUAUCAUUUCCCAUCAAUAGUAUGUCAUCCACAUACAAUAUGAGAAAUGCUACGGAGCUCCCACUCACUUUCUUGUAAACGCAGGCUUCUCCAUAAGUCUGCGUAAACCCAAACGCUUUGAUCAUCUCAUCAAAACGAAUGUUCCAACUCUGAGAUGCUUGCACCAGCCCAUAAAUCGAGCGUUGGAGCUUGCACACCUCGUCAGCAUUCUUAGGAUCGACAAAACCUUCCGGCUGCAUCAUAUACAAUUCUUCCUUAAGGAAACCAUUAAGGAAUGCCGUUUUGAUGUCCAUUUGCCAUAUCUCAUAAUCAUAGAAUGCGGCAAUUGCUAACAUGAUUCGGACGGACUUCAGCUUCGCUACGGGUGAGAAAGUCUCAUCGUAGUCAACCCCUUGAACUUGUGAUAACCCUUAGCGACAAGCCGAGCUUUAUAGAUGGUCAGAUUACCAUCCGCGUCUGUCUUCUUCUUAAAGAUCCAUUUAUUUUCUAUGGCUCGCCGAUCAACGGGCAAGUCAGUCAAAGUCCAUACUUCCUUUUCAUACAUGGAUCCUAUCUCAGAUUUCAUGGCUUCCAGCCAUUUGUCAGAAUCUGGGGCCGCCAUCGCUUCUUCAUAGUUCGAAGGUUCACCAUUGUCCAACAACAUGAUUUCCAGGAUAGGGUUGCCGUACCACUCUGGUGCGGAACGCGUCCUUGUGGACCUUUGAAGUUCAGUAGCAACUUGAUCUGAAGUUUCAUGAUCAUCAUCAUUAUCUUCCUUCCUAGUCGGUGCAGACACCUCAGGAACAAUUUCUUGAGCUGCGCCACUCUCUUGUUCAAGAGGCAAUACUUCAUCAAGUUCUACUUUCCUCCCACUUACUUCUUUCGAGAGAAACUCUUUCUCUAGAAAGGAUUCAUUCUUGGCAACAAAGGUCUUGCCUUCGGAUCUAAGAUAGAAGGUAUACCCAAUAGUUUCUUUAGGGUAUCCUAUGUAGACGCAUUUUUCCAAUUUGGGUUCGAGCUUUUCAGGUUGAAGUUUCUUGACAUAAGCAUCGCAUCCCCAAACUUUCAGAAACGACAUCUUAGGUUUCUUGCCAAACCACAAUUCAUACGGUGUCGUCUCAACGGAUUUCGACGGAGCCCUAUUUAAAGUGAAUGCGGCAGUCUCUAUAGCAUAACCCCAAAAUGAUAGCGGUAGAUCGGUAAGAGACAUCAUAGAUCGUACCAUAUCCAAUAGGGUGCGAUUACGACGUUCGGACACACCAUUACGCUGUGGUGUUCCAGGCGGCGUGAGUUGUGAAACUAUUCCACAUUUCCUUAAGUGCGUGCCAAAUUCGUGACUCAAAUAUUCUCUCCCACGAUCUGAUUGUAAGAACUUGAUUUUCCUCUCACGUUGAUUCUCAACCUCACUCUGAAAUUCCUUGAACUUUUCAAAGGUCUCAGACUUGUGUUUCAUUAAGUAGACAUACCCAUAUCUACUUAAGUCAUCGGUGAGGGUGAGGACAUAACGAUAGCCACCGCGAGCCUCAACGCUCAUUGGACCGCACACAUUAGUAUGUAUGAUUUCCAAUAAGUUGGUUGCUCGCUCCAUUGUUCCGAAGAACAGAGUCUUGGCCAUUUUACCCAUGAGGCAUGGUUCGCACGUGUCAAAUGAUUCAUAAUCAAGAGACUCCAAAAGUCCAUCUGCAUGGAGUUUCUUCAUGCGUUUGACACCAAUGUGACCAAGGCGGCAGUGCCAAAAGUAUGUGGGACUAUCAUUAUCAACCUUACAUAUUUUGGCAUUCACACUAUGAAUGUGUGUAACAUCACGUUCGAGAUUAAAUAAGAAUAAACCAUUGACCAGCGGGGCAUGACCAUAAAACAUGUCUCUCAUAUAAAUAGAACAACCAUUAUUCUCAGAUUUAAAUGAGUAGCCAUCUAGCAUUAAAUGAGAUCCAGAUACAAUGUUCAUGCUCAAAGCUGGUACUAAAUAACAAUUAUUGAGGUUUAAAACUAAUCUCGUAGGUAAAUGCAGAGGUAGCAUGCCGACGGCGAUCACAUCGACCUUGGAACCAUUCCCAACGCGCAUCGUCACCUCGUCCUUCGCCAGUCUCCGUUUAUUCCACAGUUCCUGUUUUGAGUUACAAAUAUGAGCAACUGCACCAGUAUCAAAUACCCAGGAGCUACUACGAGCACUGGUAAGGUACACAUCAAUAACAUGUAUAUCACAUAUACAUUUGGUAUUGUUGGCCUUCUUUUCCGCUAAGUACUUGGGGCAAUUCCGCUUCCAGUGACUGUCUCCCUUGCAAUAAAAGCACUCAGUCUCAGGCUUGGGUCCAUUCUUUGACUUCUUCCCGGCAGCUUGCUUACUGGGCGCGGCAAAUCCCUUGUCGUCCUUCUUGAAGUUCUUUUUACCCUUGCCUUUCUUCACUACUAGGGAAAAGGCUAGCAGCAGCGCGGGUUUUAGACCUAUCAGUAGCGCGGGGUGGUGCGCUACUGAUAAGGCGCUACAGCUAACGAAUAGCAGUAGCGUGCCUCCACCCACGCUACGACUAAAUAGACUUAGUAGCAGCGAGUUCCAGGAGGAGCGUUGCUGGUAAUUAGUAGUAGCGCUUCUCUCUGCCCGCGCUGCUACUAUUAUUUCGUAUUUUAUUUCUUUUUUAUUUCAUGUUGUAUUCGUACACCUUUACACAAAUUUUCAUACAACAGGAAUUUACAAAUUGUUUUUACAUCAUAAUGAGUUAUUACAUCACGGGGUGAAAGAACCGUGUGGACUAGUUUCAAGUGGACGGACAUCCACUUGAAACUAAUCCGCGGUUCUUUCACCCAAUGAUAUAAUAAAUAUCAUCAUCAUCAUAUCAUUAACAACUUAUCAUCAUCAUCAUCAUAUCAUUGGUCACUAGUCGUAAUCACAAGUAUUCCUGACAUCUUCAACUCUAACACAUUGUAUCACAUAAUAAACAUAUUGUACCUCAUAGGACCUACUACAUUCUCUUAGGACCUACUAUAUUCUCUAAGGUAAAAUAGAAAAAAACAAGAUAGCCCCUCGCUCUCCAUUAUGGAGAAUGCAGAUUAUCCUGUCUCCAAUUCUUGCCUUUCACUUAAUGUUGCUUCCAAGAAUCUCCUUACGAAUGUCCAAACAUUUUUUCCACUCUUUGAUUAGCAUGUGUUCACCGGUUUCAGAAAUUCGAUAUGCACAGGUGAGAUCCAUAGGAUGACCUGGCUGUAGGUUCAGAACUUCAAGGCGACCAUUGUAAUACAUCAAAUGAGGCACACAAUCCAUCGGGAUUUUCUAUUGAAAAACAUAGUAAUAACUUCAUAGUUAGCAAUGAUGUACUAGUUUUAGAAGUAUGCAAAAGAUGCACGGAUGUCGUAAUAGUAAAAUAUCUUACCAGGGUAUCUCCAUAGAAGUUAUCGUGGUUUAACACGUGCACUAGUGGCACGUAUUCACCAUAAUUUGGAGGAGUUCGAUAAUAGGUAUUGUAAUUCUCAAAAAAAGUACAAUAAGCAAUCAGAUGAUUUUUCUCCUUAUAAGUUAAUUCGGAGCCAUCAGUGUAGUGGGUUUUGUCUACCAUCUUCUCCACAUUCUUUGAAGAUUCAAAAUAAGCUAUCAAUGGAAAUAAGCUGUCAACUAUUUUGAAAUAAACAAUAUAAAUUAGUUAAUAACUAUGUUUGAGAAACUCACAUUGCGGUAGAAUCGGAAGCGUAUCAACAAGGACCCAAAUGUCCAUAUUGUCUUGCUCAAUGUCAGGAUGACCAAGAUCCAUGGUGACAAUCAUACCCUCAUAAAAACCAUACAUUUUGCAAAGUGCUUCCCAAUUUUGACAACCAAAAUGGGUUACGCUCUGAGAAUUAUACAGAUUUACUUCAAAAUCGAUAUCAUGAUGGGUCCUUAGGUGUAUUUUCUUUGUUUGAAAAUUUUAAUGGUCUUCAAAACCCAUCCUCUCCAAGACAUAGCAUCUUGCAUGGCAUGGGAUAAGCUAGUCAAAUUGUAAAAGAUGAAAAUUAGACAUUGAAAUAGGUGAAGUCAUGCUUAAUUACGAAAAAAACACUUGUCGUUGUUGCGUACCGUUUCAACAUCGAAGGUCUCCUCGAGCUUAAUGCUGAAGCGCCGAUCUUCGUCCAGCUCAACGAACCUGUCGCACAUACCUCGAUCGUCGUGGCACCAGCUGCACUCCCCCGGGAGACCGUCGUAGUCCGAGUACAACAUUUCCUAUGUUCAUAAUUCAAAGAUUAAACUUGUACAAUUAAAUAUAUGUACUAAAAAACCUAAAUUAGAUCAUUAUUUUUCAAAGAAAAUCCAGGCCACUCGAUAUUUCCCACAUAUUCUAGCACAAGUCAUGCCAGAAUUCACGGAAAAAUCCGGCAUGACCUUUGCUAAAAAAGGACAUAUCGAGCGCCUGAAAUUUGCCGAAACGGAAAUUAAUCAACACUCCGGCAAAACAUAGGCCACUCGGAGGUGUAACCAAAACAUGAAAUAAUUGCUUAAACUAAAAAAUAACACCAAAUAUGGCAUGUUCAACUAGUUCUAUUAAUUCAACUAGUUCUAUUAAUUCAACUAGUUCUUACUAAAUAUAAACUUAGUAUAAAAAGAAAAAAACCAGUUCUUUCUAAAAAUGAAGUAGUUCAACUAGUUAUUAAUUUACUUACUAUACUAGUUCAACUAAAACUUAACUAGUUCAACUAAAACUAAACUAGUUCUAUUAAUUCAACUAGUUCUUACUAAAUAUAAACUUACUAUAAAUAGAAAGAAACUAGCACAUCUAGUACUACUAAUUAACAUCUAACUACUACAUCUACUACUAAUUAACAUGUACUACUGCUAAUUAUACAACUAGUUUACCAUCACUACUAGUAAUUAAUAUCCACUACUUCUAAAAAUCAUUAUCUAUGAACCCUAAAUUAACAUCUACUACUACUAAAAUCAUGUACUAACUGAGCAAAGAGAGAGGGGGUUGGGGAGGGGUGGUGGGCUUACAGAGGGAGAGAUGGUGGCGGGGAGGUGCUCGGCAACGGAGGGGCGGCGAGGGCGGGCUCGGGAUCGGGAGGGCGGCGGUCCUGGGCGGCGGGCUCAGCAGGCUCGGUCGAGGGCAGCGGUGGUGAGGUCGAGGGCGGCGACAGUGUGGUCAAGAGCGGCGGCGGUGAGGUUGAGGGCGGGCGGAGGCGGCGGUGAGGGCGCAGGCGCACUCGGGCUCGGGCGGCGGCGACAUGGAGUAGGGGAACAGGCCGGUGGGGGGGGGAGGAGGACUUAGCGAAAUUUUGAUGCGGGGGGUGGUUAACUCGAACUAGCAGUAGCGCACGUAUAGAAAAUGCGCUAUAGCUAGCUUAUCUACAACGCGUUUUGGGAAAAACCGCUACUGCUAAUGGAAGCAGUUGUUUCUUUUGUUUAGUAAAAACAUCAAAAAUAUACAUUGGUCAUCAUUAAUCUUGUUGUGUAUAAUCUAAAUAGUCAACAUGAAUCCUCACUAUACCUGUAUAGGUACAGGCGAGGAUUCAUAUUGCAACCACAAAUCAUACACAUAUAGUUCAAUGAAGACCAAGUGCUCGAGAUAGGUUGAGAAGCAACAUAUUUAAGGUGGUAAACACCUUGUUCGCUUAGCAGUAUGGGACUAAACUUAAUUAGUUGCGGUCAUACUUACCAGCAGCGAGUUUUGAGCAAAACCGCUGCUACUAAGUUCUUUAGCAGUAGCGCGUCCACGGGAAGGGCGCUACUACUAUAUCUAGCCUGGAGGCAACACCGUGGCAAUUAUAGUAGUAGCUCUCUUUUCACCUAGAGCGCUACUGCUACUCAGUCAUUAGCAACGCUCUUUUCUAAAGCUCGUUGCUGCUAAUUAGCAGUAGCGUCUAUUUUUAGACCGCGCUGCUGCUAAGAUUCUGUGUAUAAGGUUUUCCCUAGUAGUGCUUGAACUUAGUGGUUUUAUUCACCAUCAACACUUGAUGUUCCUUUUUGAUUUCCACCUCCGCUGAUUUCAGCAUUGAAUAUUUCUCGGGAAUGGUCUUUUCCAUCCCCUGCAUAUUGAAGUUCAUCACAAAGCUCUUGUAGCUAGGUGGGAGCGACUGAAGGAUUCUGUCAACGACCGCAUCAUCCGGGAGAUUAACUCCUAGCUGAGACAAGCGGUUAUGCAGCCCAGACAUUUUGAGUAUGUGCUCGCUGACAGAACUGUUCUCCUCCAUCUUACAACUGUAGAAAUUGUCGGAGACUUCAUAUCUCUCGAUCCGGGCGUGAGCUUGGAAAACCAUUUUCAGCUCUUGGAACAUCUCAUAUGCUCCGUGUUGCUCAAAACGCUUUUGGAGCCCCGGUUCUAAGCUGUAAAGCAUGCCGCACUGAACCAGGGAGUAAUCAUCACUACGUGUCUGUCAAGCGUUCAUAAUGUCUUGUUCUGCAGGGAAAACAGGUACUUCACCUAGCGGUGUAUCAAGGACAUAUGCUUUCCUGGCAGCUAUGAGGAUAAUUUUCAGGUUACGGACCCAGUCCGUGUAGUUGCUGCCAUCGUCUUUCAGGUUGGUUUUCUCUAGGAACGCAUUGAAGUUGAGGGAAACAUUAGCGUGGGCCAUUUGAUCUACAAGACAUAUUGCAAAGAUUUUAGACUAAGUUCAUGAUAAUUAAGUUCAUCUAAUCAAAUUAUUUAAAGAACUCCCACUCAGGCAGACAUCCCUCUAGUCAUCUAAGUGAUACAUGAUCCGAGUCAACUAGGCCGUGUCUGAUCAUCACGUGAGACGUCAUCGGUGAACAUCUUCAUGUUGAUCGUAUCUUCUAUACGACUCAUGUUCGAACUUUGGGUCUUCCGUGUUUCGAGGCCAUGUCUGUACAUGCUAGGCUUGUCAAGUCAACCUAAGUGUAUUGCAUGUGUAAAUCUGGCUUACACCCAUUGUAUUCGAAUGUUAGAAUCUAUCACACCCGAUCAUCAUGUGGUGCUUCGAAACAACGAACCUUCGCAACGGUGCACAAUUAGGGGGAACACUUUCUUGAAAUUAUGUGAGGGAUCAUCUUAUUUAAGCUACCGUCGUUCUAAGCAAAUAAGAUGUAAAACAUGAUAAACAUCACAUGCAAUCAAAUAGUGACAUGAUAUGGCCAAUAUCAUUUGCUUCUUUUGAUCUCCAUCUUCGGGGUGCCAUGAUCAUCAUUGUCACCGGCAUGACACCAUGAUCUCCAUCAUCGUGUCUUCAUGAAUUUAUCUCGUCAUCUAUUACUUCUACUACUAUGGCUAACGGUUUAGCUAUAAAGUAAAGUAAUUACAUGACGUUUAUGUUGACACGCAUGUCAUAAAUAAAUUAAGACAACUCCUAUGGCUCCUGCCGGUUGUCAUACUCAUCGACAUGCAAGUCAUGAUUCCUAUUACAAGAACAUGAUCAAUCUCAUACAUCACAUAUAUCAUUCAUCACAUCCUUUUGGCCAUAUCGCAUCACAUGGCACAUGCUGCAAAAACAAGUUCGACGUCCUCUAAUUGUUGUUGCAAGUUUUUACGUGGCUGCUAUAGGUUUCUAGCAAGAACGUUUCUUACCUACGCCAAAACCACAACGUGAUAUGCCAAUUUCUAUUUACCCUUCAUAAGGACCCUUUUCAUCGAAUCCGAUCCGACUAAAGUGGGGGAGACAGACACACGCUAGCCACCUUAUGCAACUAGUGCAUGUCAGUCGGUGGAACCAGUCUCACGUAAGCGUACGUGUAAGGUCGGUCCGGGCCGCUUCAUCCCACGAUGCGGCCGAAUCAAGAUAAGACUAGUAAUGGCAAGUAAAUUGAAAAAAUCAACGCUCACAACAACUUGUGCUCUACUCGUGCAUAGAAACUACGCAUAGACCUAGCUCAUGAUGCCACUCUUGGGGAACGUAGCAGAAUUCUAAAAUUUUCUAUGCAUCACCAAGAUCAAUCUAUGGAGUCAUCUAGCAACGAGGGAGAGGGGAGUGCAUCUACAUACCCUUGUAGAUCGCGAACGAAAGCGUUCAAGAGAAUGGGGUUGAUGGAAUCGUACUCGUCGUGAUCCAAAUCACCGAUGACCUAGCGCCGAACGGACGGCAUCUCCGCGUUCAACACACGUACGGUUGGGAAGACGUCUCCUCCUUCUUGAUCCAGCAAGGGGAAGGAGAGGUUGAUGGAGAUCCAGCAGCACGACGGUGUGGUGGUGGAAGCAGCGGUGAUCUCUGCAGGGCUUCGCCAAUCUCCAAUGAGAGAGAGAGAGAGGUGUUACAUGGGGAGAGGGAGGCGCCAGAGACUUGGUGCGGCUGCCCUUCCUCCCCCACACUAUAUAUAGGGCCCCUAGGGGGGCGCCGGCCCUAGGAGAUGGGAUCUCCAAGGGGGGGCGCGGCGGCCAAGGGGGACUUGCCCCCCAAGCCAAGUGGGGCGCCCCCACCCCUAGGGUUUCCAACCCUAGGCGCAGGGGGAGGCCCAUGGGGGGCGCACCAGCCCACCAGGGGCUGGUUCCCCUCCCACUUCAGCCCAUGGGGCCCUCCGGGAUAGGUGGCCCCACCAGGUGGGCCCCCGGGACCCUUCCGUUGGUCCCGGUACAAUACCGAUUACCCCCAAAACUUUUCCGAUGGCCAAAACUGGACUUCCUAUAUAUAAAUCUUCACCUCCGGACCAUUCCAGAACUCCUCAUGACAUCCGUGAUCUCAUCCGGGACUCCGAACAACUUUCGGGUUACCGCAUACUAAUAUCUCUACAACCCUAGCGUCACCGAACCUUAAGUGUGUAGACCCUACGGGUUCAGGAGACAAGCAGACAUGACCGAGACGACUCUCUGGUCAAUAACCAACAUCGGGAUUUGGAUACCCAUGUUGGCUCCCACAUGUUCCAUGAUGAUCUCAUCGGAUGAACCAUGAUGCCGAGGAUUCAAUCAAUCCUGUAUCCAAUUCCCUUUGUCAAUCGUUAUGUUACUUGCCCGAGAUUCGAUCAUCGGUAUUCCAAUACCUCGUUCAAUCUCGUUACCGGCAAGUCACUUUACUCGUCCCGUAACACAUCAUCCCGUGACCAACCCUUAGUCACAUUGAGCUCAUUACGAUGAUGUUUUACCGAGUGGGCCCAGAGAUACCUCUCCGUCAUGCGGAGUGACAAAUCCCCGUCUCGAUUCGUGCCAACCCAACAGACACUUUCGGAGAUACCCGUAGUGCACCUUUAUAGUCACCCAGUUGCGUUGUGAUGUUUGGCACACCCAAAGUAUUCCUACAGUAUCCGGGAGUUGCACAAUCUCAUGGUCUAAGGAAAAGAUACUUGACAUUCGAAAAGCUCUAGCAGACGAACUACACGAUCUUGUGCUAUGCUUAAGAUUGGGUCUUGUCCAUCACAUCAUUCUUCUAAUGAUGUGAUCCCGUUAUCAAUGACAUCUAAUGUCCAUAGUCAGGAAACCAUGACUAUCUGUUGAUCAACGAGCUAGUCAACUAGAGGCUCACUAGGGACAUGUUGUGGUCUAUAUAUUCACACAUGUAUUACGAUUUCCGGAUAACACAAUUAUAGCAUGAACAAUAGACAAUUAUAAUGAACAAGGAAAUAUAAUAAUAACCAUUUUAUUAUUGCCUCUAGGGCAUAUUUCCAACAAGAACCAAGUACAAUCACCACUCUCUUUAGCAACAACAACAAGAGUUAACUGUAGUUGAUGGGCAAACCAAUGAACAUAGUAGGCAGAAGGAGAUUCAUCCAUAAUCAGUUUUUAGGCCAUUAGCAUUACCUUUCAUGUUGCUAGCUCCAUCAUAUCCUUGCCUACGAACCAUUGCAAAGGUCAAAUUGUACUUCAUAAGCAUUUGCUCAAUUGCAGCUUUAAGUGUCAAAGAGGUAGUAAAUUGAACAUGAGCAAGACCAAGAAAUCUUACGACAACCCUUCCUUUCUUUUUCUUAUCAACAUAACACAAGCAAAUUGCCAACUGUUCAUUCUGAUACACAUCACUAGACUCACCUGCAAGUAUUGCAAAGUGGCCACCAUCAAGUUCUUCAAUGACUAAUUUUGUAGUCUCCUGUGCACAACAUUUUAUUAACUCAUGUUGUAUAUCAUGGUGAGUCAUCUUGCAGUUUUGUGGAGCAUUUUUGAGAGCAACCCUAUCAACCUCUUCAAAAUUUCCAGCUAGCCAAUUUAAAAGCUCAAGAAAAUUUCCUUUAUUUAGUGAGUUUUCACUUUCAUCAUGUCCUCUAAAUGCCAAUUCUUAGUGCAAUAGAAAUCUCAAACAUUUGAGUGUCCAUGUCAAACGCUGCUUAUACAAAGCCUUAUAUUGUGAGGUAUUUGAAGCAAAAGACUCCCUAAUUGAUGCUUGUGGUGUGAACAUAUCAUACUUCUCUUGAGCUUCAGCAUGAGCACUACUAACCUCACCUUCAUGUUUCUUCAAUCUCGAUUUCAUGUUCCAGUUCCUAAAUCCAUUCUUCACAAAUGCAUCUCCACCGGGAUAUUUUUUCUUAUCCUUGAACAGAUAGCAAACAAAGCAGAAAGCACUAUCUUUUGUCACACUAUACUCAAUCCAUGGAAAUUCUUUAAACCAAGCACGACAAAAGUGACGGUCAACUCCACUUUUAUUUGUAUACUCAAAGUUAUGAUUCUUUGGUUGACAUGGCUUCAUCUCAAUAUAUCUUCUUCUUACUCUAUCUUGGUCAUUGACAGCAUACAUUGAGAUGGGAAUCCGCUUCCCAGGAUCAGGUUCGAGUGCCUCCAAAUCUGCUUCCAUUGGUUCAUCAUCUGCAUCACUUGUUCCACCAUCUUUAUCAAUUGGGGUUGGGGUUGCUUCUCUGCUCCCCGGUUCACAUUCCACAUCCGGUGCUUGCACUAACGCCAAUUGCAAAUUGCUCUCAAGCUGAACAUGAGAGGUACAAGUACCCGAUGCAGCUGCACUCUGAUUCGGUGUAGACAUUUCAUCAAUCUUGUUUGCUUUUGAAGCUUUUUCCCACAAUGCAAGAAUCCUAUUUCCACCACCAGUCCCAUUCUUCUUCUUCAUCUACAUUACAACAAAACAAGGAAGAAAUUAGCAUCUACAAAUUAACAAAACAAGGAAGAAUCCUACUCCAGCUGCAAAAUCGAAUCAACUAAAAUACUGAAACUCUGUUUUCUUUAAUACUGUACCUGAACGCAGGGCACUGACGCAGGUGGGAGAAAGAAACUGCCGCUAGGCGCUGGACCCUGGGCUGGGCGGCGCCGCGGCGGGCGAUGGGCGGCUGGGGCGGGGCGGGGCGUCGUCGCAGCGAUGCAGUCUGAGGGGCGGCCGGCGGACGGCGAGCACCGGUGGCGCUGAGCGGCUAAGGGCGGAGCGGGGGCGGGGCGGUGGCCGGUGACUUGGUGAGCGGGAGCGGGGGUCGCUCGCGCUGGUCGCUGGAAUGGAUACCCUUUCUUCUUUGAAGUGGUGUUCUCUUGGAACUAAUAUUUGUAUUGAACUUAUAAAGGAUGAGCGGGUUGGUAGUCACAACCGCGGCAUCCACGUCGACUGUGAAUAGGCCUGCGACUCGCGCGGCAGCGAACGAAAAAGCGGCAGCGAAAGAAAAAUAAAUGACCCCACGUCCUCCCACGCCCCUUCCUCCUCCUCUCACGAGUCACGCCCGACCCCCUCCUCCUCCUCCUCUCCUCCUCCUCCUCCUCCUCCCGUCCUUCCUCAAAACCCUAGCCACCGCCCCCUCCUCCUCCCACCUCAGCCGCCGCUGCCGCCUCCUCCUCCUCAUCCUCCCACCUCAGUCGCCUCCUAGGAGAGCUCGACACGAUGGGGUGGCCGUGGAGUGCGCCCCGUCCGGAGAGACAAGGCGGCUCCCGAGCAGGGCAUCCGACAGCGCUGGCUUCUCCUCCCCUGCGCCACCGCUGCCCACCCCUCCUCAUCUCGUGCGGGCACGGAGGUGAGCUUCUCCGACGGCGGCGGCGACCUACAGUCAAAGGGCGACGGCGCUCGAUUUGAUCUACAGGAGAGAGAGAAGAUGAGAGGGAGAGAGAGAAGGAAGGAGAGGAGGUAGAAAUAGAGAGGAAAGAGGAGAGGGAUGUGCCGCGGCCGACGGGAGAGGGUCACCGGAAGGAACAACUGGUCAUCGUUCACACCGCGCUGGGCCAGAGAUGGCUCUGUACAGCCCACACGUCUGCAGGUUCCUUCUUCCUUCCUGCUCCUCUCCUCUUUUGAUUAGCUGUAACUGCAUGUUUGGGUCAGUGCUAUGCCUGCUGUCGCUGGGCAGUACUUUAGGCAAGUCAACCUUCCAAUUCAGUACACGUCUGCACAAGGAGAAGAGCCCCUGUUAGCUUUUCUUUUUGCAGAUUAGCCCAAUAAUCUACAUCAGUCGAUUUGAGGGUAUGUUGAAUGUGAUAUUUAAUGAACAUGGUCAUUCUGUUGUUCAGAGUACACAAGUGGUUACCCUUGAAGUCUCCUCCUUGCCCCGCUUAUUCAUUAAGGUAAUAUUUUGAUUUUCUCAAUUUGUCGCUUCAGUUCCACAUUAACCAUGAAUUGUUGUGUGUAAAUACUCAUAUCCCGUUAAGUUCAUGUGUAUAAAUCAAGUGGGUUGAAGUGUACUGUGAAUUUCCUGAAAAAGUUUACUUGAGAUAUUAUAUGCAUGGUGUGGAUUGUUGAGUUUGCUUGGUUAAUGCCAUGCCUGUGCAGAUCAACAGGGGGGAGGUCCAGGGUGAGACCUUCAAGAGGGAUUUGAUGUUGCUAUUAUUUCAGUUUGCAGAUAGAGGAUGUGAUUCCAGCAAGACAGUGACGAUGGCGAUGACAAGUGAGAUUUAUGUUAAGGAGUAUUAGCAUAUGCUCAUAGGAUCACUAGAAGCAUAUAAAGGUAUCCACAAUGAUGAUUGCUUUCUUAUCGACAAAGAGUUGAAUUAUAAUUAUAGACGGUAAGAGUAGUACCUUUAUAAUCAUAGCUGUAUGCAAUGAUCCAUCAUGUAUUUCUGUUUAAAACCGCAACAUGUAAUUAUUUGAUGUCGUGAAAUGUCUAUAUAUAUAUAUUUUGUUUACAUUCUUAAGUUAGCCUCCAGACUAUCUACAUUGUCAUGGUAACCUUGGUAGGUUAUAAUAUGCAGAUCGAUAAUCCCGGUUCAGUUUGAGCUUUCCAACUUAACUUAACUUAACAGUAUAGUGUUAAUAUUAGGAUCACAACUUAACUUAAAUUAGCAGUAUAGUGUCAAUGGGCAUCAUCUGAAGCUAAUAAGAUGUUGUUACUGAAGAACAGCCCCUUGCUACUUACUUGAACAGUACGUGAAAAACACCCUAAAUAGAUUAAAGAAAUCAUACUUGACUGUGAUUGCAUUUGGUUGACGCUUACGUGUAUUUCUCAUCGGUAGAUCAAGGGGGUAAUCUUCUACAUUUCAGGUCCAAGCUUUCAAUGAAUUUUUCUAUCUUUUUUUCAUAUCCCAAUCAUCGUCUGCAAGGCCGAAGCAUCCAUGUCUAUAUGGUUUUGUGGCACUGAGUUCGUUCCAUGCCAGUUUAUUUCUAACAGUUGGUCUGCUUCUUCAUAGAGAUUUUAUCAGUAUACUAAAUUAAAUAAGAAACUGAAUGUGUACUGCUUUCACCUUCAGUUUGAACAUGAUUGUCCUAUUUGUGACAUAGGUGAAAAUUAGCAAGCAAGCAACAGUCGGUGCAUGGAUGACCAAGUUUACUUUUUACUUUAUGAAGAUGAUGAUUCCUAAAUAGAAUUACGAGCUAGGUCCUGCAUGUUGACCGUGCUUCAAGGUACAGUUGUUCAUGCCUUAUAAAAUUGUAAUGCUUUUUAUUGGUUGUGCAUCCUAGGACCAAAAGCUUGAUUCAUAGAUAGCCGAAGAACUGAGGAAUUUUACUCUCUGUCGUUGCAGGGUAGAAGAGAAUGGGAGGAGGGGACGCGCGCUCCAUAUUUUGUUAUGCACACCUUCCUAAACUAUACUUUUCUUCUUAACAUAUGUUCAUUGUCCAGCAGAAGCUGUAGAUUUUAGCGUACAAUAAUUUCCAAAAUGGUAGAAGGUAAGAACCAUGUUACAUGAUCCUUUUGUGUUCUCUUGAUUUAAAUUAACACGUACCUGUUAAACUUGGUGAUGAUUUUCGAGGUGUAUUUAUAAAUUAUCUGCCAAGGUUAUUCCUUCAGGCAAUUUUUUUCUUCUGAAGCCUAGGCAUAUUGGUUGUUUGGUUGGCUCUCUUUACUAGCAGGAAGAUAACUACUACGUGUUGCUUAGUUGUGUUGCUUAGUUAUUAGCGGAUUGACUGUAUGAAUUAUCUUAUGUUCACCCAGAGUUAUAGGUUUCUAAAUACUAGGCUCUUGGGACUUAAUUCUAAUGGUUAGUUUUUUUGGAUUCAUGUACUCCGGUGCUACAGCCUAGGUAAAGCUCCUUCACAAUAGUAUUUAAAGCUUAUAUUGGUAACUCCAUCAGAGUUCAAGCAUUAGGCUCUCUGCUCUGUGUAUUGCAAAGUGUUCUAUAUAAUGCUUUGAUGUUCCUUUGUCACUGUUUGAUGUUCUACCUGGGUGGCCUCUGUCUUGGUUUACAGCUCCAUAUGGCUACCUAUGUAUACCUAUGUAGAUUUUGUUUGAACUGUACUCAAAUCGUGCAUAUGUUUCUAUAUUCUUGCCUUCCUCUUUUUAACUCAUGAGAUUGUUAGAUAGUUGAAUAUCAUUGGUCUCUGUCGGCAUUCUAUUUUCGCAGUUUGAAAUGAGUAUUGGUCCAUUGAUAUUAAACUUCACAAUAGGUAGUGGCAUCUUCAGGAAAAAGUAGUGGCAAAUAUGCUAGAGAUUUCUUUUUUGCUGCAGGAAUGACACUAUUGCCCAAAUCCUCAACACAUAUUUUUUAGUAACUGAGAGGAUUAUUCACCUUUGCUGUUGUAGGCAUUCAAGAUCUGGCAGGGCUGGGUCAACCGGCCCUUCGUGUUCAAGACCUGGCUCUGAUGAGCCUUGACAGUCCUGCUACCGGCUGGGCAUCGUCAUCCUGAGCCAUGUCCGGAACCAGACCAGUAGGGGCACCCUAAGCGAGCACUCGAGGCAUGCUGUCAAGUUGGACAAGUGCAACCAGGCCAGCUGUUGUGUGUGUCCACGGUUACAUUGUUGUAUUGUUGGUUAAAGACAAUGUUUUUCUUCUUGAAUUAUGAAACCUCGAACAACAGUUGGAUAUAAUCGUUUUGUUCGUUUUGCAAUCAAAGCUUCCAUCGAAUAAUAUUUUAGAAUUGUGCUCUGUCUUAUUCAUAAACUGUGGCUAUUUUGUAGAUUCAUACACGAUACGGCUUUGUGUGCAUUGAAAUAGCAACAAGUUGGCCUCUCGGUCUCAUUUAUGUAUACAUUUGACUCAUACACGCAGCCAGCAUGUCCAUGUGAUCUGGAUGAAUUUCUCUAUCCUGUUUUAUGUUGUGAUGUCUUUGAUUUUUUGUCUCUUCCAGAUUUACAUAUAGAUGCCUCGGUGAAUACUCAAGAAUUUUGUGUUCUUUUCUAUUGACGGCCUUUAGGUAUUUUAUUUUUAUUUUUAUAAUGAUUCUGAAACGAGGUCACUCCCUACUAAUCUUGCUCUCCAGGCCUGGUGGCGGGAUGCUUGGUCAAGAAUGCAGGGUGAGUAAAACAAAACGCUUUUAUCUCUCUGGUCAUCUAGAGCAUAUGGAGGAGCAAGAUAGCGGGCUUUGACAGUGUCUUCACACCGCCCCAGAGGGGGUGCCACUGAGGGCUUUCUCAUGGAACACGGUGCAAUGUGGUUUUAUGCACGCCUAUGAGCAGGCUACCCUGCACGCUGGUCUUCUACUGCUUUCCCAGGCAUAUUACUUCCCCGUGAGAUGCUUCCAAGGGCUCUAUUCGGCUCCAUUGUAUUUUUCUUCUUUUUUGAUUGCUUUUCCUUCUCUGUUUCUUUUUUAUAUGCAAGGCCAUAAAUUUUUACCAUGCAUCCUUGCUCGCAUAGAAAAUUACUUCAAAAUACACAUGCUUCUAAAAAUGCACAUCCUUUUCAAAACUAUGUAUAUCUUAUUAUCAAAGAUUAUAAGGCAGAAUGUGUUUGCCCACGACUAAAACAAGUAAUACAUUGUACUUUUUUCAAAGCACACAUGGAAUUAGCGGGCUCCUUCAGGUAUUUCAAGGGAAAAGCAGAAUAUGUUUAACUAAUUUUCUAUAUUGCUUAUUUAUGCAUUUGUGACCAUAGCUUUCCACUUUAGCUCAUAAACUGGAUGGCAAAAUAGAGUUUGCCCAUUUCAUAUCUAUGUUGUCUUAUUAGGAAAAAAGAUUUUGUUUAAUAGCUGAUGCUUAAUAUGUUUUAUCGACCGUUGAAUGCUCAACUUUAGCUCAUAAACUAGAUGGCAAAUGCUAAUUCUGAUGGGGCUUUUCGCACUUAUUGUUUUAUUGUUGUCUAGACAGCUGAUGGCAUGCUUCUUUCUUGCUAAUUGUCAAUUCUUUUGUACAGGGUCCCUCAGCUACUUAUGCUUUGGUAGACAAUAAGAGUAUGUAGAUAGCAUGUAUGGUUUUUACAUUGUUUUGCGUAGGUUGACAUGCAUCACAUGAUGUUUUCCUUUUACGUUUAUGAGUAUUACAUAGUCCUUUCUUUUUCCACAAGGGGCAGUAGUUGUGCCAUUCGAUUCGAAGGACAAAGAGUUGAUCACAAAGGCGUAGCAUUCAGGAUAUAUACACAAAAGAGUAUAGAACCAAAUUAUAUGAUGUAAUUGACCACUUUCUAUUAACUUCUCUUGUAUACAAUGUUCACGAGUUCAUGUAUUAAGUACAUUUUAUUGUGUCACUUGUGUUUACUCUUUUUUUAAUGCAAGUUUACAGCUACUCAGAGUUCCUAAUUGUAGACUCAACUAUCUUGACCUACUGAUGAUCUAAUUUGUGGCAUUAUUACCUUAAGAAAAUAUUUGCAUUUAAUUUUCUUUAUAUAUAGGGGUAUAAGUUCUGACCAAAUGUACUCAAAUAUACGGUUAUUGAAAAAAUGCAAACAUUUUCAACACGAACAUGGUUUUAAACGGGUCUUUGCGUCAUUUGGCGCAACUGGUCAUCUAGUUAUUACAAAUGGCAAGAUCUUCAUAGGGGAGAGGCCAACCUUUCCUGCUUGGUGUUGUAAAUUUGUACAUGACAUCUCUUCUUGCAGAUAGAGUUAAUGCUUACCAAAGCUCCUGGAUUGGAUUAGUAAUCUCCAUUAGAUAAAUAGGUAGGUAGGAAAGUGUUGAUUUUCCGUUCUUUUCUUGGUUCCCUUUGUAAGCAUUUUUUGCUUGCUUUUGUUUUGAUGGAAUAAAGGACUGUGGAGCUGUUGCUCCAUACUCCCUCCGUUCGGAAUUACUUGUCUUGGAAAUGGAUGUAUCUAGAACUAAAAUACGUCUAGAUACAUCCAUUUCUGCGACAAAUAAUUCCGAACGGAGGGAGUAAUAGUUACAAAAAUCUGAGAUUUUCUUGAUUUUUCACUAGUAUGAUUACACUCCUUCACAAGGAUCUUAUGCCAUGCAUGUUGGAGAUUUAUUUCAAUAGUUCCAUAAUAUGUUUUGAAUGCUGUUGCUAUCUAGUUCAGUUAGAUGCUUAUUAUCCAGACCAACAAAAAUUCUUUAGCAAGGGUCUCUACAAGAAUAUGUUUCAUCCUACUCUACUAGCAAAAACCGAUGGAGUUGCUCGUAGUGACAUGGAAAAGAAACCAUAAUCUUUUUGUAUUGAUAAGUAAAGAAACUGAAAUUUGCAACUGCAAAUCAGGGGAUCUUAAUGUCAAAUACUGAAUGCUUCCACAACUAGUUGUGAGACAUAUUCAUUGCAGUGCCAAAUAAAGAACCUUAUUCAUGAAUUAAUAACAGCAAGACAAUGGUCCGCGUGUUGUAUAUAAUAAAUAUCACACAGGUUUUGUAUAUGUGUAGCCGGUUCUAGAAUUUACAUAUGCAUGCUCGAGAACCUAUGUUCGUACAUACAUACACAGACCAUAUAGAAUGAAAAAUAUGCUCUGGUCGUCCAGCAGAGUCGUGGACAAAAGUGACGUUCACAAAAGACCUUCAUACAUAGGCCAUUGUUUCAACUCGUAGUUUAGGCCUUGCCAGACUCCUCGCAACCCGGUGGCCUGAAGGCGAUGAAGCUGACGCACUGCACCUGGCGCAGGUUGUCGAAGCCGAUGACGCGGACAUAGGCGUCAGGGUACUCCUUCUUGACCUCCUCCACCUCGUUGAGCACCUGUGUG
rnacentral:lncRNA from 1 species